AAAGAAACCAACAGGGAUUGCCUCAGUAACGGCGAGUGAAGCGGCAAAAGCUCAUAUUUAUCAUUAAAUCAGUUAUCGUUUAUUUGAUAGUAACUUGCUACUUGGCAUACGCCUGGCAAUUCUAGAGCUAAUACAUGCGCACAGGCCCAACGCAAGGCGGGCCGUAUUUAUUAGAUAAAAAAUCAACAAUACAGAUGAUUCAUAAUAACUUGUCGAAUCGCAUGGCCCCGAGCCGGCGAUGGUUCAUUCAAAUUUCUGCCCUAUCAACUUUCGAUGGUAGGAUAGAGGCCUACCAUGGUUUCAACGGGUAACGGGGAAUAAGGGUUCGGUUCCGGAGAGGGAGCCUGAGAAACGGCUACCACAUCCAAGGAAGGCAGCAGGCGCGCAAAUUACCCAAUCCCGACACGGGGAGGUAGUGACAAUAAAUAACGAUACAGGGGCCCUUUGGGUCUUGUAAUUGGAAUGAGUACAAUGUAAAUACCUUAACGAGGAACAAUUGGAGGGCAAGUCUGGUGCCAGCAGCCGCGGUAAUUCCAGCUCCAAGAGCGUAUAUUAAAGUUGUUGCAGUUAAAAAGCUCGUAGUUGAACUUCCCCCGGCGCGGGCCCCUGUUUUUCGGGGGACUUGGGCCGGGGUCCUUCGGGAAAUUACUUUGAGUAAACGAGAGUGUUCAAAGCAGGCGCGCAGCCUGAAUCUUCAAGCAUGGAAUAAUAAAACAGGACAAUGGUUCUAUCUUGUUGGUUAUAAGCCAUCGUAAUGAUUAAUAGGGACGGUCGGGGGCAUCAGUAUUCAGUAGUCAGAGGUGAAAUUCUUAGAUUUACUGAAGACUAACUACUGCGAAAGCAUUUGCCAAGGACGUUUUCAUUAAUCAAGAACGAAAGUUAGGGGAUCGAAGAUGAUCAGAUACCGUCGUAGUCUUAACCAUAAACUAUGCCGACUAGGAUCGGGCGCGCUCACAACAGACGCGCUCGGCACCUUACGAGAAAUCAAAGUUUUUGGGUUCUGGGGGGAGUGUGGUCGCAAGGCUGAACACUUACACGGAAUUGACGGAAGGGCACCACCAGGAGUGGAGCCUGCGGCUUAAUUUGACUCAACACGGGGAAAACUCACCAGGUCCAGACACAAUAAGGAUUGACAGAUUGAGAGCUCUUUCUUGAUUUUGUGGGUGGUGGUGCAUGGCCGUUCUUAGUUGGUGGAGUGAUUUGUCUGCUUAAUUGCGAUAACGAACGAGACCUUGGCCUCUAACUAGGGUGCGCAGCGGUAGCUACGCGACCUUCUUAGGGGGACUAUUGAUGUAAGUCGAUGGAAGUUCGAGGCAAUAACAGGUCUGUGAUGCCCUUAGACGUUCUGGGCCGCACGCGCGCUACACUGACGGAGGCAGCGAGUUGACCUUUGCCGAGAGGCAUGGGAAAUCUUGAAACUCCGUCGUGCUGGGGAUAGAGCAUUGCAAUUUUUGCUCUUCAACGAGGAAUUCCUAGUAAGCGCAAGUCAUCAGCUUGCGUUGAUUACGUCCCUGCCCUUUGUACACACCGCCCGUCGCUACUACCGAUUGAAUGGCUUAGUGAGGUUUUUGGACUGGGGCGACCCGGGAAAACUAUCAAACUUGGUCAUUUAGCAGGAAGUAAAAGUCGUAACAAGGUUUCCGUAUGUGAACCUGCGGAAGGAUCAUUAUUGAAAUAUUAAACACUGAUUUGGCGUUGUGCAGCUAACAAGACAUUUUUGUCAAGCAAUAUAAAAAAAUAACUUCCAACAACGGAUCUCUUGGCUCUCGUACCGAUGAAGAACGCAGCAAAUUGCGAUACGUAUCAUGAUCUGCAAACGUGAAUCAUUAAUCUUUGAACGCACAUGGCGCGCCUUGGCGCAUGCGGGGUGGAGCAUACAUUUUCUCCUCAGGGCCUUAGAAUCAACAGUCAGAAAACAAGUUCUCGACUUUUUUGUUUCUCCCCCCCGUAAGACUACCCGCUGAACUUAAGCAUAUCAAUAAGCGGAGGAAAAGCUUCGGCAUUGUAACGGUGGCGGAAGUGGGCAUUCAAAAGUCCAUUGGAACAUGGCGCCAUUGAGGGUGACAGCCCCGUAAGAUAGGCCCCAACCCUCCACAAAUGAGUCGAGUUGUUUGGGAAUGCAUCUAAGAGGUGGUAAACUCCACUCUAAGGGCUAAAUAUCGACGAGAGACCGAUAGCGAACAAGUACAGGUGAUUGGAACAGAU
rnacentral:rRNA from 1 species